rnacentral:rRNA from 1 species
ACACCAAGUGAUUAAGUUAUAUUUCUAGGUAAAAAGACAGUUAGGUUUGUAUAAAAAUUUAGUUUAUUGACCAUCUGUAAAAAAGUAAAAUUUGUAUACAGAUAGCUAAUUUAAAAAUGACUAGAAAACUGAAGCUGUGAUAGUCUUGAGGGAAACUGGGAUUAGAUACCCCAUUAUUCUUGACUGUAAAUAUAAUCAAAUUUACCAGAGUACUAUGAAUAGCUAAAAAUUUAAAACUCAAAGGGCUUGGCGGUGUUUUAGACCUAUCAGGGGAACCUGUCUCAUAAUCGACAAUCCACGUUAUAUCUGACCUCAUUUUGUAUCCAGUUUGUAUACCGUCGUCGUCAGGUAACUUUUAAAAAUAUAGAAGUUAGCAAUAGGAAUUAUGUAAAUUAAGACGUCAGAUCAAGGUGCAGCCUACAAUGGGGAGAGGAUGGGUUACAAUUAUCAAAUUUAUAAUUACGGAAAUUUAGAUGAAAUUACAUUUAGAAGGAGGACUUGAAAGUAAACUAAAAUACAUAAAUAGUUUGAAUUAGGCUCUG